AGUGAACGCUGGCGGUAGGCCUAACACAUGCAAGUCGAACGGCAGCACAGUAAGAGCUUGCUCUUACGGGUGGCGAGUGGCGGACGGGUGAGGAAUACAUCGGAAUCUACUUUUUCGUGGGGGAUAACGUAGGGAAACUUACGCUAAUACCGCAUACGACCUACGGGUGAAAGCAGGGGAUCUUCGGACCUUGCGCGAUUGAAUGAGCCGAUGUCGGAUUAGCUAGUUGGCGGGGUAAAGGCCCACCAAGGCGACGAUCCGUAGCUGGUCUGAGAGGAUGAUCAGCCACACUGGAACUGAGAAACGGUCCAGAAUACUACGGGAGGCAGCAGGGGGGAAUAUUGGACAAUGGGCGCAAGCCUGAUCCAGCCAUACCGCGUGGGUGAAGAAGGCCUUCGGGUUGUAAAGCCCUUUUGUUGGGAAAGAAAAGCAGCAGGUUAAUACCCCGCUGUUCUGACGGUACCCAAAGAAUAAACACCGGCUAACUUCGU
rnacentral:rRNA from 1 species